UUGGCCCUACGGGGGGCAGCAGUGGGGAAUAUUGGGCAAUGGGCGCAAGCCUGACCCAGCAACGCCGCGUGAAGGAAGAAGGCCCUCGGGUUGUAAACUUCUUUUAUCGGGGACGAAACAAAUGACGGUACCUGAUGAAUAAGCCACGGCUAACUACGUGCCAGCAGCCGCGGUAAUACGUAGGUGGCAAGCGUUAUCCGGAUUUACUGGGUGUAAAGGGCGUGUAGGCGGGAGAGCAAGUCAGA
rnacentral:rRNA from 1 species